GGUUUAGCUGAGCUCAGUGGUUAGAGCUUAGGUCUUGCGACCGGAAGGUUCCGGGAUUGAAUCUCGCCAGAGCCA
rnacentral:tRNA from 1 species